UAGCGGCGAGCGAAGCGGCAACAGCCCAGAUUUGAAAUCCGGCGUUCUUUGGGCGCCCGAGUUGUAAUCUGCAGAUGGGUUUUCCGGUGAGGCACACGUCCAAGUUCCCUGGAAUGGGACGCCGCAGAGGGUGAGAGCCCCGUACUGGCGCCGUGCCGAGCCUCUGUGAGGCCCAUUCGACGAGUCGAGUAGUUUGGGAAUGCUGCUCUAAUUGCGAGGUAAAUCUCUCGUAAGGCUAAAUACCGGCCAGAGACCGAUAGCGCACAAGUAGCGUGAGCGAAAGAUGAAAAGAGCCUUGGAUAAGGGCGUCAAAAAGCAUGUGAAAUCGUUAUGGGGGAAGCGCUCGUCGCCAGACGUGGCGGCGGCUGGUUAGCCGGCGUUCUCGCCGGCGCACUCGGACCGCCGCCAGGCCAGCAACAGCUCGGACCGGGGCCCACUGCCGGAGGGAACGUGGCUCCUUUCGGGGAGUGUUAUAGCCCUUCGGCGACGCCCUGGACCGGGCUGAGGACCGCGCCUCGCGCACGGAUGCUGGCGUAAUGGCGCCUAGCGACCCGUCUUGAAACACGGACCAAGGAGUUGACCUAGCGCGCGAGUGUACGGGUGUCAAGCCCCUGCGCGCAGUGAAAGCAAACGCUGGUGGGAGCCUUCGGGCGCACCAUCGACCGAUCCUGAUGCUCCGCGGAUGGAUUUGAGUAGGAGCGUGCUGGGUCUGACCCGAAAGAAGGUGAACUAUGCAUGGGUAGGGUGAAGCCAGAGGAAACUCUGGUGGAGGCUCGCAGCGGUUCUGACGUGCAAAUCGAUCGUCAAACCUGUGCAUGGGGGGCGAAAGACCAA
rnacentral:rRNA from 1 species